CAGCCGCCGCGGUAAUACGUAGGGGGCGAGCGUUGUCCGGAAUUACUGGGCGUAAAGGGCGUGUAGGCGGCCUGUUAAGUCAGGGGUGAAAGACCGGGGCUCAACCCCAGGGGUGCCUCUGAAACUGGCGGGCUUGAGUGCUCUAGAGGGCAGUGGAAUUCCCGGUGUAGCAGUGAAAUGCGUAGAGAUCGGGAGGAACACCAGUGGCGAAGGCGGCUGCCUGGGGAGUCACUGACGCUGAGGCGCGAAAGCUAGGGGAGCAAACAGGAUUAGAUACCCUGGUAGUCCUAGCCGUAAACGAUGAGCGCUAUGUGUGAGGGGUAUCGACCCCCCUCGUGCAGUAGCUAACGCAUUAAGCGCUCCGCCUGGGGAGUACGGCCGCAAGGUUGAAACUUAAAGGAAUUGGCGGG
rnacentral:rRNA from 1 species